rnacentral:rRNA from 1 species
CUACGGGAGGCAGCAGUGAGGAAUUUUGCGCAAUGGGCGAAAGCCUGACGCAGCAACGCCGCGUGGACGAUGAAGGUCUUCGGAUCGUAAAGUCCUGUCGAGUGGGAAGAAAAGUGCGGAAGCCAACACCUUCCGCAUUCGACUGUACCACCAGAGGAAGCCCCGGCUAACUCCGUGCCAGCAGCCGCGGUAAUACGGAGGGGGCCAGCGUUGUUCGGAAUUAUUGGGCGUAAAGGGCGCGUAGGCGGCCGAAUAAGUCUGACGUGAAAUCCCCCGGCCCAACCGGGGAACUGCGUUUGAUACUGUCCGGCUCGAGUCCGGGAGAGGGUAGCGGAAUUCCCAGUGUAGCGGUGAAAUGCGUAGAUAUUGGGAGGAACACCGGUGGCGAAGGCGGCUACCUGGACCGGUACUGACGCUGAGGCGCGAAAGCUAGGGGAGCAAACAGGAUUAGAUACCCUGGUAGUCCUAGCUGUAAACGAUGGGUGCUUGGUGUAGCGGGUAUCGACCCCUGCUGUGCCGAAGCUAACGCAUUAAGCACCCCGCCUGGGGAGUACGGUCGCAAGGCUGAAACUUAAAGGAAUUGACGG